GAUCAUGGCUCAGGACGAACGCUGGCGGCGUGCUUAACACAUGCAAGUCGAACGAGAAUCUACUGAAAGAGUUUUCGGACAAUGGAUGUAGAGGAAAGUGGCGGACGGGUGAGUAACGCGUGAGGAACCUGCCUUGAAGAGGGGGACAACAGUUGGAAACGACUGCUAAUACCGCAUGACGCAUAGGGGUCGCAUGAUCUUUAUGCCAAAGGUUUAUCGCUUCAAGAUGGCCUCGCGU
rnacentral:rRNA from 1 species